rnacentral:rRNA from 1 species
GACGAACGCUGGCGGCGUGCUUAACACAUGCAAGUCGAACGGAAAGGCCCUGCUUUUGUGGGGUGCUCGAGUGGCGAACGGGUGAGUAACACGUGAGUAACCUGCCCUUGACUUUGGGAUAACUUCAGGAAACUGGGGCUAAUACCGGAUAGGAGCUCCUGCUGCAUGGUGGGGGUUGGAAAGUUUCGGCGGUUGGGGAUGGACUCGAGGCUUAUCAGCUUGUUGGUGGGGUAGUGGCUUACCAAGGCUUUGAAGGGUAGCCGGCCUGAGAGGGUGACCGGCCACAUUGCUCCUGAGAUACGGCCCAGUCUCCUACGUGAGGCAGCAGUGGGGAAUAUUGCACAAUGGGCGGAAGCCUGUUGCAGCAACGCCGCGUGCGUGAUGACGUCCUUCGGGUUGUAAACCGCUUUCGCCUGUGACGAAGCGUGAGUGACGGUAAUGGGUAAAGAAGCACCGGCUAACUACGUG